rnacentral:rRNA from 1 species
AUGUCUUCUGAUUCUUCCGCAUUGUCUUCUCUCCGACCUCUUGAUUCGCCUGUUAAUGUUCUUACUGCCGAUGGCACAUCUCUUCCUGUUGCUAGUCGUGGUAUUCUUUCCACUCCCUCCUUUUCUGUUCCGAGUGUUUCACAUGUUCCUCGUCUUACCAUGAAUCUUUUUUCCGCUGCUCAACUUACUGAUUCUGGUUGUCGUGUCAUUCUUGACACCGACUCUUGCUCCAUUCAGGAUCGUCGCACCAAGGCUUUGGUUGGUGCUGGCCCUCGGCGCCGUGAGUCAGAGGGCCUUUGGGAGGUUGACUGGCUUUGUGUUCCUUCCGCUGCCACCACUUCUGCCAGCUCUCAUGCUCUUGCUGCCUCUUCGUCUGCGUCCUUCCAGCAGUGGCAUCAUCGCCUUGGUCACAUCUAUGGCUCUCGCUUGUCUUCUUUAGUCCGUCAGGGCCUCUUAGGGUCUGUAUCUGGAGAUGUCUCCUUACAUUGUAAUGGUUGCAGACUUGGCAAACAGACUCAGCUACCUUAUCCUAUCAGUGAGUCUGUAUCUCAGCGUCCUUUUGACUUAGUUCAUUUUGAUGUCUGGGGUCCUGCUCCCUUUGAUUCGAAAGGUGGUCAUCGCUAUUAUGUUUUGUUUAUUGAUGAUUUCUCUCGCUACACUUGGCUCUACUUCAUGAAAUCUCGUAGCCCAUCGUGUUGCUCCAGUGGAAACUUUGAUCCUCGGAUCGGGCGAUGGUGGCGCUCCGGUGUCGUGCCCUUCCUGAAGGCGCCGCCUUGGAGCCCACGGUUCGUCAUAUGCGGCUUCACUUCUUCGCGGUGGCGUGUUCACGGCUGUAGCCCCCGGCUGCUCUUGUAG